rnacentral:rRNA from 1 species
UUUUCCUACGGGGGGCAGCAGUGGGGGAUAUUGCACAAUGGACGAAAGUCUGACGCAGCGACGCCGCGUGAGGGAUGAGGGUUUUCGGAUCGUAAACCUCUGUCAGGAGGGAAGAAAGCGCACGGCGCCAAUCAGCCAUUCGUUGACGGUACCUCCAAAGGAAGCGCCGGCUAACUCCGUGCCAGCAGCCGCGGUAAUACGGAGGGCGCGAGCGUUAAUCGGAACUACUGGGCGUAAAGCGCGCGUAGGCUGGUGUGUAAGUU